AUUGAACGCUGGCGGCAGGCCUAACACAUGCAAGUCGAACGAGUGGCGGACGGGUGAGUAAUGUCUGGGCAACUGCCUGCUGGAGGGGGAUAACUACUGGAAACGGUAGCUAAUACCGCAUACCAUCGGAUGUGCCCAGAUGGGAUUAGCUAGUCGGUGGGGUAAAGGCUCAACUAGGCGACGAUCCCUAGCUGGUCUGAGAGGAUGACCAGACACAAUGGAACUGAGAAACGGUCCAGACUCCUAAGGGAGGCAGCAGUGGGGAAUAGUGCACAAUGGGCGGAAGCCUGAGACAGCCAUGCCGCGUGUAGGAAGAAGGCCUUCGGGUUGUAAAGGACUUUCAGCGGGGAGGAGUUACCCGCAGAAGAAGCACCGGCUAACGCCGUGCCAGCAGCCGCGGUAAUAC
rnacentral:rRNA from 1 species